UAAAUGCAAACAUGGUACUUACUUAAAAAUAGUAAAUUGACCUUAAUCAGUUUUUAUCAACCUGCUUUUAACACUUGCUUUUAGUGAGUUACUUGUACUUUGAGGUUGAAAAAUCUUACCAGCUCAGUCUACGUGAGCUGGAUUAAUAUAGAAAAAGUAAGUUUAUGACAUGUGGACAUGCGCAGAUCAGUCCUCUCUGACAUGCCUAAACCCAACCAAUCAAGGUGCUUCGUGGGGCGGGUCUUGGAUUUGCGGGAAUCGUAAUUUUGCAGACGGUCGUUAUGUCACCUCACCACAUGCUGCAACUGACCAGGUGGAGCUGGACCUAAACAUCGCUUCUACGGCACUUGUGAUUAUCUUCAGCCGAUAUUAUUUUGCUUGGCACACUCAUUUGGCUCAAGCAGAAUGGUAAUCAAUCCUCCUCACGUUCCAUAAUCCCAGCAAUAAAAGAUACUUUGGACAGUCCAUCAUACCCAGGACUACAGUAUCCUAGAUGCCAACCACAUAAGUGAGUCAUUUACCUUUUGUACUGCUCUGUUCACUUGUCUUGAAGUUCAAUGUUGAAAAGCUUGAUAAUUAGAUUUUUGCAAGGAUUUAGUUUUUCCUAUAGCUCUGGUAUUUAAAGUCUGAUAAUGCAGCCGGCCCUAUCUUGCACCCGAUGCACAGCGGACUUUCCCUCCACAGACGCAUGUUAGUAAAUUAGGAAUGAACUUGUGCUCCCUGGGCUGUUCAGUGCAAAAAAAUAAGGCGUGUUCUGGUGCAAACAAUCCCUGAUGCUAUUUUGCAGUUC